rnacentral:rRNA from 1 species
UAGCUAUUUGGUGAGGUAAAGGCUUACCAAGGCGACGAUCUGUAGCGGGUCUGAGAGGAUGAUCCGCCACACUGGAACUGACACACGGUCCAGACUCCUACGGGAGGCAGCAGUGGGGAAUUUUGGACAAUGGGGGCAACCCUGAUCCAGCCAUGCCGCGUGAGUGAAGAAGGCCUUCGGGUUGUAAAGCUCUUUCGGCCGGGAAGAAAUCGCAUGGGCCAUACCCUGUGUGGAUGACGGUACCGGAAUAAGAAGCACCGGCUAACUACGUGCCAGCAGCCGCGGUAAUACGUAGGGUGCGAGCGUUAAUCGGAAUUACUGGGCGUAAAGCGUGCGCAGGCGGUUUUGUAAGACAGGCGUGAAAUCCCCGGGCUUAACCUGGGAACUGCGUUUGUGACUGCAAGGCUAGAGUACGGCAGAGGGGGGUGGAAUUCCACGUGUAGCAGUGAAAUGCGUAGAGAUGUGGAGGAACACCAAUGGCGAAGGCAGCCCCCUGGGUCGAUACUGACGCUCAUGCACGAAAGCGUGGGUAGCAAACAGGAUUAGAUACCCUGGUAGUCCACGCCCUAAACUAUGUCAACUAGGUGUUGGGUGGGUAAAACCAUUUAGUACCGUAGCUAACGCGUGAAGUUGACCGCCUGGGGAGUACGGCCGCAAGGUUAAAACUCAAAGGAAUUGACGGGGACCCGCACAAGCGGUGGAUGAUGUGGAUUAAUUCGAUGCAACGCGAAAAACCUUACCUACCCUUGACAUGCCAGGAACUUGCCAGAGAUGGCUUGGUGCCCGAAAGGGAGCCUGGACACAGGUGCUGCAUGGCUGUCGUCAGCUCGUGUCGUGAGAUGUUGGGUUAAGUCCCGCAACGAGCGCAACCCUUGUCGUUAAUUGCCAUCAUUUAGUUGGGCACUUUAACGAGACUGCCGGUGACAAACCGGAGGAAGGUGGGGAUGACGUCAAGUCCUCAUGGCCCUUAUGGGUAGGGCUUCGCACGUCAUACAAUGGUCGGUACAAAGGGUUGCCAAGCCGCGAGGCGGAGCCAAUCCCAGAAAGCCGAUCGUAGUCCGGAUUGCAGGCUGCAACUCGCCUGCAUGAAGUCGGAAUCGCUAGUAAUCGUGGAUCAGCAUGUCACGGUGAAUACGUUCCCGGGUCUUGUACACACCGCCCGUCACACCAUGGGAGCGGGUUCCGCCAGAAGUAGGUAGCCUAACCGCAAGGGGGGCGCUUACCACGGCGGGGUUCGUGACUGGGGGAAGUCGGAACAAGGUAGCCGUAGGGGAACCUGCGGCUG